GCAUCCCUCUUUUUUUCGGUUUUUCUCUUUUUUUGUUUUGUUAAAAAUGUAUGACUUUAUAACUUUUAGACCGUGAGGCCAAACUUGGCAUGCCAUACCUUUUCGGAAAGCCCAAAGAGAGCUCUCCAAUUAAUGAGGAAGGAAAAUGGAAUUCUUCUAUUGUUUUUUUUUUCUACUCCAAAUUUUGACCUUAAUGUACUUUUUCGUGCCUUUUCGUGAUCUUUGCUAUAGUACGGGGUGAAAAUUAUAUGUUCGGACAUUGUUUUCGAAUAUUUUGCAUGUAUCAAAGCUCUAAUAAACAAGAUAGGGUAUUCCUACAUAGCUAGUGGGACCCACGACAAAUGGAUCAUAAAGUCUUAAAAAAGAAUAGAUACGAUUGCAUUGCAUGUAGUAACGGAUGCGAUUAUACCAACAUUAAUGCACCGGAUCCCAUCAGAAAUCUGCAGUUAAGCGUGCUUUGGCGAGAGUUGUACUAGGAUGGGUGACCUACAGGAAAGUCCUCGUGUUGCAUUCCUCUUUUUUUUCUCGGUUUUUCUCUUUUUUGUUUUGUUAAAAGUAUAUGACUCUAUAACUUUUAGACCGUGAGGCCAAACUUGGCAUGUGAUACCUUUUCGGAAAGCCCAAAGAGAGCUCUCCAACUAAUGAGGAAGGAAAAUGGAAUUCUUCUAUUGGUUUUUUUUUCUACUCCAAAUUUUGACCUUAAUGUACUUUUUCGGGCCUUUUAAUGAUCUUUGCUAUAGUACAAGGCGAAAAUUAUAUGUUCGGACAUUGUUUUCGAAUAUUUUGUAUCUAUCAAAGCUCUUAUAAACAAGAUAGGGUAUUCCUACAUAGCUGGUGGGACCCACGGCAAAUGGAUCAUAAAGUCUUAAAAAAAGAAUAGAUACGAUUGCAUUGCAUGUAGUAACAGAUGCGAUCAUACCAGCACUAAUGCACCGGAUCCCAUUAGAACUCCGCAGUUAAGCGUGCUUGGGCGAGAGUAGUACUAGGAUGGGUGACCUCGAAGAAUGUCCUCGUGUUGCAUCCCUCUUUUUUUCGGUUUUUCUCUUUUUUUGUUUUGUUAAAAAUGUAUGACUUUAUAACUUUUAGACCGUGAGGCCAAACUUGGCAUGCCAUACCUUUUCGGAAAGCCCAAAGAGAGCUCUCCAAUUAAUGAGGAAGGAAAAUGGAAUUCUUCUAUUGUUUUUUUUUUCUACUCCAAAUUUUGACCUUAAUGUACUUUUUCGUGCCUUUUCGUGAUCUUUGCUAUAGUACGGGGUGAAAAUUAUAUGUUCGGACAUUGUUUUCGAAUAUUUUGCAUGUAUCAAAGCUCUAAUAAACAAGAUAGGGUAUUCCUACAUAGCUAGUGGGACCCACGACAAAUGGAUCAUAAAGUCUUAAAAAAAAAUAGAUACGAUUGCAUUGCAUGUAGUAACGGAUGCGAUUAUACCAGCAUUAAUGCACCGGAUCCCAUCAGAAAUCUGCAGUUAAGCGUGCUUGGGCGAGAGUUGUACUAGGAUGGGUGACCUACAGGAAAGUCCUCGUGUUGCAUUCCUCUUUUUUUUCUCGGUUUUUCUCUUUUUUGUUUUGUUAAAAGUAUAUGACUCUAUAACUUUUAGACCGUGAGGCCAAACUUGGCAUGUGAUACCUUUUCGGAAAGCCCAAAGAGAGCUCUCCAACUAAUGAGGAAGGAAAAUAGAAUUCUUCUAUUGGUUUUUUUUUCUACUCCAAAUUUUGACCUUAAUGUACUUUUUCGUGCCUUUUAAUGAUCUUUGCUAUAGUACGGGGCGAAAAUUAUAUGUUCGGACAUUGUUUUCGAAUAUUUUGUAUCUAUCAAAGCUCUUAUAAACAAGAUAGGGUAUUCCUACAUAGCUGGUCGAACCCACGGCAAAUGGAUCAUAAAGUCUUAAAAAAAGAAUAGAUACGAUUGCAUUGCAUGUAGUAACAGAUGCGAUCAUACCAGCACUAAUGCACCGGAUCCCAUCAGAACUCCGCAGUUAAGUGUGCUUGGGCGAGAGUAGUACUAAGAUGGGUGACCUCGAAGAAUGUCCUCGUGUUGCAUCCCUCUUUUUUUUCGGUUUUUCUCUUUU
rnacentral:sRNA from 1 species